CAAGACUGGGGGAGGGGAUGAAAGCCACGGGCAGCUCCGGAACCCUGACAGCCGCCGGGGCCGCUUUCGCUCUCCUGGGUCACAGCUCCUGCCAGGGUAGGGUGGGCAGAUGUGAAUGAAAUCUGCUGGUGUUCUCAUUCUCCAGCACUGAGGCUUCAUUUUUGCCAUCUCCUGUCAGCCGCCCAGUCUUCCCCCCCUUGAAGAAGAGGUUCAUCAAUGUCUUGGAGCGCUGCAGGGCACCCUUCUCUGGAGAUCAGGGUUUCCAAAACUGGAACACACCCUCCUCCUCUCGCCUCCUGCUUCCCUCAGGCCUUAAGAGUUCCAAUUUCUGCAAGAAGCCUCUCCCAGUACUCCUUCACCUGGAUGCCUUCCCUGGGAGAUUAUCUUCAAACUAUCCUAUCUAUGUUUUGUUUGUAUAUAGUUGUCUUUUCCCAGUAGUGUGUGAACUCCUGGCGGGUAGGCACUGUUAGCAGUGUCCAUGGGUCCAAAAAUUAAGAACCCCCAUUGUAAAUCAUUGUAGCUAGUACUAAGACCCUGUUCUUCCUUGAAUCCAAGCUUUCUUAAGAGGCAGGAUUUUGAGAACUGGCAGAUUUGGAGGCUGAGUUUAAAGUGUCAAAGAAGAGUCAAAAAACCCCUGGAACCCAGACAAGUGACUGGGAGGUAGAAGCUUUUGGAGGGAAAGGAGGCUUUUGGAUUAAGCUUGGGACAUCCAGGCUCUAGUCAUUCAUGAAGUGAUCCCUCCACCCCCUCCCCAGACACACAUGGAGUCUCUUGGAGUCUGACCCAUGCUGCCUUCAGAGC